rnacentral:rRNA from 1 species
UACGUAGGCAGCAAGCGUUGUUCGGAGUUACUGGGCGUAAAGGGUGCGUAGGCGGCUUUUUAAGUUUGGUGUGAAAUCUCCCGGCUCAACUGGGAGGGUGCGCCGAAUACUGAGAGGCUAGAGUGCGGGAGAGGAAAGUGGAAUUCCUGGUGUAGCGGUGAAAUGCGUAGAUAUCAGGAGGAACACCGGUGGUGUAGACGGCUUUCUGGACCGUAACUGACGCUGAGACACGAAAGCGUGGGUAGCAAACAGG